ensembl:lncRNA
UUCAGCCGAUACGGCGAGAGAGUUGGAGUGUUUGGGCGAGUACAGAGGAAAGAAGGCAGAGGAUAUUGUUGGCUGGGCAAAGACGGAGACAAGGGUUUGGCAGAAACAGACACCGGGCUGAGUAUAUUGGAAUGUCUACUUAACUGUGAAAUGCUCCAUGGACAUGUGUAACAAAUUCUGAGUGGUUGAAAACAGGAAGACUCACCGGAAGUAUCGCCGAAGGAGGCCUUUUUGACAGGGCACGUGGCAGCAGGAGAAGUAUCCAGGAGCUGGAAAGAAGAGGGAAAAGAGACCUCGUGUAGUAACGGUGUGAGUACCCUAAACCAUCGUACAGCAGUAUAAUCAUCUAGAGUGAACCAUCUGUGAGCGUUUUGUGAGUUUGUGGCAUAGUAUGUGAGCGGCCCCACCGUGGAGGAGGAUUGAGGGUGAGCCGGGACCAGUGAGCGAGAGAGGAUGUUGGGCUGUUGUGGCGGCAACGUUUAAAUCUGAAUAUUCGUGGCAUCAGUGUCUUCACGACUUCCAGGAAGAGUCUUUGGUCAGACGGGGUGUUGACCCUAAAUUCACCAGAGUGUGUGGAGUGCAGUGGGCCCGACGAAAUCCUGUGAAGGAAGUGAAUACCGAGGCGGGCGAAGAAAACAUCUCCAAUUAUAUGCCGUCGAUGACAUCCUGACCCUUCUUCCCCACGUGACGGUGGUGGGAAACAAUUUCAAAUCUCUUGACUUGUCGGUUGGUAGAAAGAAGAGGGAAGCGUUCGACCCAUCCAGUGUAGUACACCCCGGGUGAGACAACUUACCUGUGUGUGACGCCAGCGGAGGCCGUGUUCGGCCCAACGCAACAGUUUUCGAUCCGCCUCUCUGUCAGCAGUUGGUAGAAGCCUCAGAAAAGGAACGUCUGACGUCUAUUCCCUCGAAGGUCUGUGAGUUACAUCACUUCCUGUUUCCCUGUAUAUUCACCGUAAGCGUAUGCCCAAAGCUAAAGCCAGCAUAUUGUGUUGUACACUCGCCUGUAUGCCCAGAGUGAAGUCCCAGUUAUAUUGGAUGUACUUACCUUAUGCCCAAAGCUAAAGCCAGCAUAUUGUGUUGUACACUCGCCUGUCUGCCCAGAGUGAAGUCCCAGUUGUAUUGGAUGUACUUACCUUAUGCCCAAAGCUAAAGCCAACAUAUUGUGUUGUACACUCGCCUGUAUGCUCAAGUGAAACCCCAGUUGUCUUUCCUACGGACUUACUUGUGCCCCCGAGUGAAGAGCCAGCGGCC